UGCAGUCGACGAUGAUCCCAGCUUGCUGGGGGAUUAGUGGCGAACGGGUGAGUAACACGUGAGUAACCUGCCCUUGACUCUGGGAUAAGCCUGGGAAACUGGGUCUAAUACCGGAUAUGACCGCUCUGACGCAUGUCAGGUGGUGGAAAGCUUUUGUGGUUUUGGAUGGACUCGCGGCCUAUCAGCUUGUUGGUGGGGUAAUGGCCUACCAAGGCGACGACGGGUAGCCGGCCUGAGAGGGUGACCGGCCACACUGGGACUGAGACACGGCCCAGACUCCUACGGGAGGCAGCAGUGGGGAAUAUUGCACAAUGGGCGCAAGCCUGAUGCAGCGACGCCGCGUGAGGGAUGACGGCCUUCGGGUUGUAAACCUCUUUCAGUAGGGAAGAAGCGAAAGUGACGGUACCUGCAGAAGAAGCGCCGGCUAACUACGUGCCAGCAGCCGCGGUAAUACGUAGGGCGCAAGCGUUAUCCGGAAUUAUUGGGCGUAAAGAGCUCGUAGGCGGUUUGUCGCGUCUGCUGUGAAAGACCGGGGCUCAACUCCGGUUCUGCAGUGGGUACGGGCAGACUAGAGUGAUGUAGGGGAGACUGGAAUUCCUGGUGUAGCGGUGAAAUGCGCAGAUAUCAGGAGGAACACCGAUGGCGAAGGCAGGUCUCUGGGCAUUAACUGACGCUGAGGAGCGAAAGCAUGGGGAGCGAACAGGAUUAGAUA
rnacentral:rRNA from 1 species